rnacentral:rRNA from 1 species
UGACCUCGGAUCAGGUAGGGAUACCCGCUGAACUUAAGCAUAUCAAUAAGCGGAGGAAAAGAAACCAACCGGGAUUGCCUCAGUAACGGCGAGUGAAGCGGCAAGAGCUCAAAUUUGAAAGCUGGCUCCUUCGGAGUCCGCAUUGUAAUUUGCAGAGGAUGCUUUGGGUGCGGCCCCCGUCUAAGUGCCCUGGAACGGGCCGUCAGAGAGGGUGAGAAUCCCGUCUUGGGCGGGGUGUCCGUGCCCGUGUAAAGCUCCUUCGACGAGUCGAGUUGUUUGGGAAUGCAGCUCUAAAUGGGUGGUAAAUUUCAUCUAAAGCUAAAUACUGGCCGGAGACCGAUAGCGCACAAGUAGAGUGAUCGAAAGAUGAAAAGCACUUUGAAAAGAGAGUUAAACAGCACGUGAAAUUGUUGAAAGGGAAGCGCUUGCGACCAGACUCGCCCGCGGGGUUCAGCCGGCAUUCGUGCCGGUGUACUUCCCCGUGGGCGGGCCAGCGUCGGUUUGGGCGGCCGGUCAAAGGCCCCUGGAAUGUAGUGCCCUCCGGGGCACCUUAUAGCCAGGGGUGCAAUGCGGCCAGCCUGGACCGAGGAACGCGCUUCGGCACGGACGCUGGCAUAAUGGUCGUAAACGACCCGUCUUGAAACACGGACCAAGGAGUCUAACAUCUACGCGAGUGUUCGGGUGUCAAACCCGUGCGCGCAGUGAAAGCGAACGGAGGUGGGAGCCCCCUUGCGGGGCGCACCAUCGACCGAUCCUGAUGUCUUCGGAUGGAUUUGAGUAAGAGCGUAGCUGUGGGGACCCGAAAGAUGGUGAACUAUGCCUGAAUAGGGCGAAGCCAGAGGAAACUCUGGUGGAGGCUCGCAGCGGUUCUGACGUGCAAAUCGAUCGUCAAAUUUGGGUAUAGGGGCGAAAGACUAAUCGAACCAUCUAGUAGCUGGUUCCUGCCGAAGUUUCCCUCAGGAUAGCAGUAACGCAAAAUCAGUUUUAUGAGGUAAAGCGAAUGAUUAGAGGCAUUGGGGUUGAAACAACCUUAACCUAUUCUCAAACUUUAAAUAUGUAAGAAGCCCUUGUUGCUUAGUUGAACGUGGGCAUUAGAAUGGAGC